GCCAGUUUUUCCGUGCAGCUCCAGGCGAUAAGGUUCUCGGUUUUUACUGACAGCAAAAUUUAAUUCAAAAUUUAAAAAUGAAAUUCUUUUUUGCGGUCGUCUGCCUAUUUGCUCUAGUAAUGAGCGUCAGCCUCGCCAUGCCAGCCGUCAACGAUGAAAGCUUCGUGGCAAUCCCCUCGGAGGCCGUUCUGAUGAAUGCAGCCGAAAACCCACAGGAUCCGCAAGGCACUUUCGGACUGCUGCUACUGAAGAAGAAACUGCUCCUACUCGGUUAGAGUUCGAGCAACAGAUAUUUUAGUGCUAAUGAAAGCAAUGAUACUAUGACAAAACAAAGUUAUUUUAAGACACAAUCGUAAAAUAAAAAUGACAAAACUACCAACAACAACGAUAAACUGUCAAACCGCCGAUGCAGCCUGAAUGGCACGAUAAUGCGUUGAUAAUGCUAAUUCAUAUCAAGCUUGUCAUUCGAAUAAAUAUCUUCUGAACAA